rnacentral:rRNA from 1 species
CCAGAAAGUCACGGCUAACUACGUGCCAGCAGCCGCGGUAAUACGUAGGUGGCAAGCGUUAUCCGGAUUUAUUGGGCGUAAAGAGAGUGCAGGCGGUUUUCUAAGUCUGAUGUGAAAGCCUUCGGCUUAACCGGAGAAGUGCAUCGGAAACUGGAUAACUUGAGUGCAGAAGAGGGUAGUGGAACUCCAUGUGUAGCGGUGGAAUGCGUAGAUAUAUGGAAGAACACCAGUGGCGAAGGCGGCUACCUGGUCUGCAACUGACGCUGAGACUCGAAAGCAUGGGUAGCGAACAGGAUUAGAUACCCUGGUAG